rnacentral:siRNA from 1 species
UGAAGGUUGUUGGUUUUGCUGC